UAUAUGAAGAGGCAAAAGACUCAGAAUAGCCAACUCAAUACUGAAGGAGAAGAACAGAGUUGGAAGACUGACACUACCUGAUAUCAAGACUUACUACAAAGC